AGUGAACGCUGGCGGUAGGCCUAACACAUGCAAGUCGAACGGCAGCACAGUAAGAGCUUGCUCUUACGGGUGGCGAGUGGCGGACGGGUGAGGAAUACAUCGGAAUCUACUUUUUCGUGGGGGAUCACGUAGGGAAACUUACGCUAAUACCGCAUACGACCUACGGUUGAAAGCAUGGGAUCUUCGGACCUUGCGCGAUUGAAUGAGCCGCUGUCGGAUUAGCUAGUUGGCGGGGUAAAGGCCCACCAAGGCGACGAUCCGUAGCUGGUCUGAGAGGAUGAUCAGCCACACUGGAACUGAGACACGGUCCAGACUCCUACGGGAGGCAGCAGUGGGGAAUAUUGGACAAUGGGCGCAAGCCUGAUCCAGCCAGACCGAGUGGGUGAAGAAGGCCUUCGGGUUGUAAAGCCCUUUUGUUGGGAAAGAAAAGCAGCAGGUUAAGACCACGCUGUUCUGACGGUACCCAAAGAAUAAGCACCGGCUAACUUCGUG
rnacentral:rRNA from 1 species